GCAUUUUACUAACCUCUGUGAUACGAGUAUCAAAACUUCUUCAGUGAGUGUUAUGUAAUGAUCGAUGAUAAAGUCCUCGUCAUUCCUGUGCGGGCGCAACACACGCUACUUGAAGAGCAACUUAAGUUGCGAGGAAGCAAGUGGUUGUGAUAAGCGAGAGAUUUGUAAAAGUGCUUAGCCUUCUUUUUAAAAGAAAAGUCCUGCCUGGGCUACAAGGAAGUGCUGAUAGGGGAAAAAACACGCUGCAGCUGACAUGUGGCACAAUGUUUCCUGCGGCAUGCUCGAACCACUGGUGUCCCUGCACUCCUAAAGCACGGAUCUUCUGUCAAAACAUAACCGCCAAACAAUAAUCAAUUUUCAGAACACAGAAAGUGCGAUACUUACAUCAGUAAUUACGCUCUUAAAAUUUCCCGCUACUAUCAUACAAAGGUACGAAAUGGACUACUUUGAUAUACAAUAUAUACCAACAUUAAAAAGUAGGCUAGAAGCAUCGGUUAGUCUGAACUUCUCUAAAUGCCAGCGGGGCAUGAAAUUGUGUCUCCUCAGUGAGAUAAAAACAGGUUUCAUUGCAUGGGUCGCUUAGGCAUUGGUGUUGUCGUCAAGUGCGCCACGGCGUUUUCGCUAAGGUUCGUUCCUGGAAAAGAAAAUGGGGGAAGAGAUCUGCAAGCUGCUUUCCACGCGAGAGCCUGCUGCUACGUCUUCCGCGAAAGAGUGCGCACGUUUAACCCAACGAAAGGGUAGCGCACCUGUUCGCCAAGAGCUGAUAUGCGUUCAAACGCUGGGUCGUUUAAAUCUCCCUGCUCGAUGGUUAAGGCUGUUCGAUGGAAAAGAAGUAAGAGCGAGGCCCGUCGUACUAAUAUACCUUCGCCCCACCUGCCUGUCGUAAGAGGACGCUCGUGGUUGUCGCGCACGGGGACCUUAGAAACGGUGGGGAAAUUAAAGAGUAUAAAUUUCCAGCUGCUUAUACGAACACCAAUCGAACAAAUCGACAAGAAAAAAAAAGUGCGGCUUGCGAUUAGGUGAGCGGAUUUUGCGUGUGUUGCUUUCUCGCUUCUGCGAGCAUGUACGGUCGCCUGAAAGAGCUCGCUAGUAUGAGGCUUGUGGCAGUGGCGUUUUUCGUGACGACUGUCACCUACGAUGCAAAUACACUUUCUGUUCCUCAGAGGAGAACAGCCGGAAAGAAAAUUCUAGGCCCCGGAGAAUGCGCUCCAGGUGAAGAGUACACCUGUGUCAGUGGGGACUGCGGAGAGAGAACCUGCGCAGAUGCUGCAGACAACAACAAGAUCUGCGCAAGGAACUGCAUCAUGGGAUGCUUUUGUGCCCCGGGCCUCUUCCGUCGUCCCACGGACCGCAGAUGCGUCCCGAAGGAGCAGUGCAACGAUACCAAGGCGCCAGUCACAGCGGCCUCUUCCUUACAAUAAAUCGGGGACAAUGCCGCUGACGCUUCCUCGUGUACCCACGAUUGGCUUCACACGGCUUUCUUUAUAAUAUUAUGGCUUCCACCGACAAA